rnacentral:rRNA from 1 species
AGCGAACGCUGGCGGCAGGCCUAACACAUGCAAGUCGAACGAACCUUUCGGGGUUAGUGGCGGACGGGUGAGUAACACGUGGGAACGUGCCUUUAGGUUCGGAAUAACUCAGGGAAACUUGUGCUAAUACCGAAUGUGCCCUUCGGGGGAAAGAUCUAUCGCCUUUAGAGCGGCCCGCGUCUGAUUAGCUAGUUGGUUGAGGUAAUGGCUCACCAAGGCGACGAUCAGUAGCUGGUCUGAGAGGAUGAUCAGCCACAUUGGGACUGAGACACGGCCCAAACUCCUACGGGAAGCAGCAGUGGGGAAUCUUGCGCAAUGGGCGAAAGCCUGACGCAGCCAUGCCGCGUGAAUGAUGAAGGUCUUAGGAUUGUAAAAUUCUUUCACCGGGGACGAUAAUGACGGUACCCGGAGAAGAAGCCCCGGCUAACUUCGUG